rnacentral:rRNA from 1 species
AUUGAACGCUGGCGGCAUGCCUUACACAUGCAAGUCGAACGGCAGCACGGGUGCUUGCACCUGGUGGCGAGUGGCGAACGGGUGAGUAAUGCAUCGGAACGUACCCGGAAGUGGGGGAUAACGUAGCGAAAGUUACGCUAAUACCGCAUAUUCUGUGAGCAGGAAAGAGGGGGAUCGCAAGACCUCUCGCUUUCGGAGCGGCCGAUGUCGGAUUAGCUAGUUGGCGGGGUAAGAGCCCACCAAGGCGACGAUCCGUAGCGGGUCUGAGAGGAUGAUCCGCCACACUGGGACUGAGACACGGCCCAGACUCCUACGGGAGGCAGCAGUGGGGAAUUUUGGACAAUGGGCGCAAGCCUGAUCCAGCCAUGCCGCGUGAGUGAAGAAGGCCUUCGGGUUGUAAAGCUCUUUCGGCUGGGAAGAAAUCGCAUCUCCCAAUACGGGGUGUGGAUGACGGUACCAGCAUAAGAAGCACCGGCUAACUACGUGCCAGCAGCCGCCGCAGUAA